UGUCCGUCCCUGUACGCGCCCGUCCGUCUGUCUGUCCUCCCCGCGCCCCCGGCAUCCCUGGGUCCGUCCGUCUGUCCGUCCGUCCCCGUUCAUCCCUGUGAUGUCCGUCCGUCCCUAUACCCGCCCGUCCCUGUGGUGUCCGUCUGUCUGUCCUCCCCCUACCCCCACGUCCCUGCGUCUGUCUGUCUGUCUGUCCCUACACCCAUCCACCCCUUUGUCUGUCUGUCUGUCCCCAUCCCCAUUCAUUCCCACAUCCCCGUGUCUGUCUGUCCGUCUGUCCCUACACCCAUCCAUCCCUGUGUCCGUCCGUCUGUCCCCAUCCCUGUUCAUUCCCACAUCCCUGUGUCUGUCUGUCCGUCUGUCCCUAUACCCCCUUUAUCAGCCCCACAUCCCUGUCCGUCUGUCCGUCCCCAUAUCCAUUUAUCAGCCCCGCGUCCCCAUGUCUGUCAGUCUGUCCAUCUGUCCGUCCCUAUACCCGCCCGUCCCUAUGGUGUCCAUCUGUCUGUCCUCCCUGCACCCCCACGUCCCUCUGUCCAUCUGUCUGUCCAUCCCUACACCCGUCCGUCCCCAAAUCCCUGUGUCCGUCUGUCUGUCCGUCUGUCCCUAUGCCCCUUUAUCAACCCCGUAUCCCUGUGUCUGUCUGUCCGUCCCUGUACCCAUCCAUCCCUCUGAUGUCCGUCUGUCUGUCUGUCCAUCCCCGUGCCCAUUCAUCCCCGUCUCCCCGCUGCCCCUCUGUCCGUCUGUCUGUCCCUGUACCCCCUCAUCCCAAUACCCCGUGUCUGUCUGUCUGUCCGCCCGUCCCUAUACUCCUUUAUCAGCCUCAUGUCUUCGUGUCCAUCUGUCUGUCUGUCCCCAUACCCACUCAUCCCCACAUUCCCGUGUCCGUCUGUCUGUCCCUACACCCGUCAGUCCCUCUGAUGUCCGUCUGUCCCAGUAUCUGUUUAUCAGCUCCAUACCUCGCUGUCCGUCUGUCUGUCCAUAUACCACUUUAUCAGCCUCAUAUCCUUCUGUCUGUCUGUUCCCAUGUCCGUCUGUCCCUGUACCCAUCCAUCCCUCUAUCUGCCCCCAUAUCCCCGUGUCCGUCCGUCUGUCCCUAUACCCACUCAUCCCGAUAUCCCUGAGUCCGUCCGUCUGUCCGUCCCUGUACCCUUUUAUCCUGUCUGUCUGUCUGCCCCCCAUUUAUCCGCCCCGUAUCCCUUUGUCUGUCUGUCUGUCUGUCCCUCC
rnacentral:lncRNA from 1 species